rnacentral:rRNA from 1 species
AUGAUCGAGUAUCUGAAAGGACAAAGAGUUGACCGUGAAAUCUUCAUGACAGUGGAGCAUGAUGUUGUUCUAGAGAUCCUCAAGCAAGUGGUCUUUAGAAGAAAAUUCCAUGGCGCCUCUGUAUACGGCUUUGAUGAUGGCCAACUCAUCAUCUUCUCGGUGUUUACGCUUCAAAAAAUCCUCCCACAUUGA